CAGUAGCCGCGGGAAUACGUAGGUGGCAAGCGUCGUCCGGAAUUAUUGGGCGUAAAGGGCUCGCAGGCGGUUUCUUAAGUCUGAUGUGAAAGCCCCCGGCUCAACCGGGGAGGGUCAUUGGAAACUGGGAAACUUGAGUGCAGAAGAGGAGAGUGGAAUUCCACGUGUAGCGGUGAAAUGCGUAGAGAUGUGGAGGAACACCAGUGGCGAAGGCGACUCUCUGGUCUGUAACUGACGCUGAGGAGCGAAAGCGUGGGGAGCGAACAGGAUUAGAUACCCCAGUAGUCCCUGUCUCUUAUAC
rnacentral:rRNA from 1 species